rnacentral:tRNA from 11 species
GCGUCAGUGGUUUAGUGGUAAAAUCCAUCGUUGCCAUCGAUGGGCCCCGCGUUCGAUUCGCGGCUGACGCA